AUUGAACGCUGGCGGCAGGCCUAACACAUGCAAGUCGAGCGGAGCGGCGGACGGGUGAGUAAUGCCUAGGAAUCUGCCUGGUAGUGGGGGAUAACGUCCGGAAACGGGCGCUAAUACCGCAUACUUUCCGACGAGCCUAGGUCGGAUUAGCUGGUUGGUGGGGUAAAGGCCUACCCAGGCGACGAUCCGUAACUAGUCUGAGAGGAUGAUCAGGCGCACUAGAAGUGAGACGCGGUCCAGGCUCCUGCGGGAGGCAGCAAUGGGGAAUAUUGGGCAAUGGGGGAAAGCCUGAUCCAGCCGUGCAGCGUGUGUGAAGAAGGUCUUCGGAUUGUAAAGCACUUUAAGUUGGGAGGCGUUACCAGCAGAAUAAGCACCGGCUAACUACGUGCCAGCAGCCGCGGUAAUUC
rnacentral:rRNA from 1 species